rnacentral:rRNA from 1 species
UACGUAGGUCCCGAGCGUUGUCCGGAUUUAUUGGGCGUAAAGCGAGCGCAGGUGGUUUAUUAAGUCUGGUGUAAAGGGCAGUGGCCCAACCAUUGUAUGCAUUGGAAACUGGUAGACUUGAGUGCAGGAGAGGAGAGUGGAAUUCCAUGUGUAGCGGUGAAAUGCGUAGAUAUAUGGAGGAACACCGGUGGCGAAAGCGGCUCUCUGGCCUGUAACUGACACUGAGGCUCGAAAGCGUGGGGAGCAAACAGG